rnacentral:piRNA from 1 species
UUGUGGCCAUGUUGAGCUGAUUGAAAUGGU